rnacentral:rRNA from 1 species
ACGAAGGCAGCAGCUAAGAAUAUUCUGCAAUGGACGAAAGUCUGACGGAGCGACGCCGCGUGGAUGAUGAAGGCCGGAAGGUUGUAAAAUCCUUUUAUAACUGAGGAAUAAGUAUUAUCAGAGAAAGGUAGUAUGGUGACUGUAGGUUAUGAAUAAGCAACGGCUAAUUACGUGCCAGCAGCCGCGGUAACACGUAAGUUGCGAGCGUUGUUCGGAAUUAUUGGGCGUAAAGGGCAUGUAGGCGGUUUUGCAAGCUUGGUGUGAAAUCCCGGAGCUCAACUCCGGAAUUGCGUUGAGAACUGCAUAACUUGAGUCACUGAGGGGCAAUCAGAAUUCCAGGUGUAGGGGUGAAAUCUGUAGAUAUCUGGAAGAAUACCAAUGGCGAAGGCAGGUUACCAGCAGAUGCCUGACGCUGAGGUGCGAAGGUGCGGGGAGCAAACAGGAUUAGAUACCCUGGUA